CUUUCAGUAUUGGUGGUAGAAUUGUGGGUAAAUAUCGUACUUCGCUCCUACCAGAAAAUGUGGAGGUCUUGUUAUGUGCUAGGGACUGGUUAUAUGGAGUAACAGCUUCUGAAGAUGAAGAAGAUAAAGAAAGACUGAGUAUUGACUUUGCACCUUUAGUUGCUAAACUUACUAACCUUCAUGUUUAGGAAUCUUCUCUGUUUUGUGUUGAGCCAGCAGCAAACUUUUAGGUUGCUAUCUUUGUACUGUCA